rnacentral:rRNA from 1 species
AACGAACGCUGGCGGCAUGCCUAACACAUGCAAGUCGAACGAGACCUUCGGGUCUAGUGGCGCACGGGUGCGUAACGCGUGGGAACCUGCCCUUAGGUUCGGAAUAACUCCCCGAAAGGGGUGCUAAUACCGGAUUAUGUCUUCGGACCAAAGAUUUAUCGCCUUUGGAUGGGCCCGCGUUGGAUUAGCUAGUUGGUAGGGUAAAAGCCUACCAAGGCGACGAUCCAUAGCUGGUCUGAGAGGAUGAUCAGCCACACUGGGACUGAGACACGGCCCAGACUCCUACGAGAGGCAGCAGUGGGGAAUAUUGGACAAUGGGCGAAAGCCUGAUCCAGCAAUGCCGCGUGAGUGAUGAAGGCCUUAGGGUUGUAAAGCUCUUUUACCCGGGAUGAUAAUGACAGUACCGGGAGAAUAAGCUCCGGCUAACUCCGUG